AUUGUACUCUCUCCGUCCGAAAAAACUUGUCCCAAACUUGUUCAUCAAAUGGAUGGAUCUAGCACUAAUUUGAUGCUAGAUACAUCCAUUUGAGAGAAGCUUUUUCAGGCGGAGGGAGUAUAUA
rfam:Triticum aestivum genome assembly, contig: Triticum_aestivum_CS42_TGACv1_scaffold_093359_2AL